UACGGGGGGGGCAAGCGUUGUUCGGAAUUACUGGGCGUAAAGCAUGCGCAGGCGGUUAUGCAAGACAGAUGUGAAAUCCCCGGGCUCAACCUGGGAACUGCAUUUGUGACUGCAUGGCUAGAGUACGGUAGAGGGGGAUGGAAUUCCGCGUGUAGCAGUGAAAUGCGUAGAUAUGCGGAGGAACACCGAUGGCGAAGGCAUCCCCUGGACCUGUACUGACGCUCAUGCACGAAAGCGUGGGGAGCAAACAGG
rnacentral:rRNA from 1 species